rnacentral:rRNA from 1 species
UGGGGAAUAUUGGACAAUGGGGGCAACCCUGAUCCAGCAAUGCCGCGUGUGUGAAGAAGGUCUUCGGAUUGUAAAGCACUUUCGACGGGGACGAUGAUGACGGUACCCGUAGAAGAAGCCCCGGCUAACUUCGUGCCAGCAGCCGCGGUAAUACGAAGGGGGCUAGCGUUGCUCGGAAUGACUGGGCGUAAAGGGCGUGUAGGCGGUUUACACAGUCAGAUGUGAAAUCCCCGGGCUUAACCUGGGAGCUGCAUUUGAUACGUGUAGACUAGAGUGUGAGAGAGGGUUGUGGAAUUCCCAGUGUAGAGGUGAAAUUCGUAGAUAUUGGGAAGAACACCGGUGGCGAAGGCGGCAACCUGGCUCAUGACUGACGCUGAGGCGCGAAAGCGUGGGGAGCAAACAGGUUAGAUACCCUGGUAGUCCACGCUGUAAAACGAUGUGUGCUAGAUGU